rnacentral:lncRNA from 1 species
CGGCGAGGCUGGAGCUGCCGGCACUGGCGGAGCCACGUUGAUCGGCGCAGCCCGGCCGCAGUGCGGGAGCUGCGGCGGGGUGAGCGCCCCCCGCACGGGGCGCCGCUGAGGCAGCAGCUCACGGUAAGCGCGUUAUGUGAAGUACGUACGACGGGCUACAGCACCAAGCAAAAUCAAGGCUCCUGCAAUUACAGGUCAGAGGAUUGA